GUUUAUUGUAGUCUUCACAGUCUGGGCUUCUUUGUACCUGUCCUUCUUGGGAAGGCUUUCCAAGUAUUUGAGGGGAAUUGGGCGUUGUGAUCUAAGUCUUUGGUCACUGCAGCUGUAUCUGCAUUAGGGGGCACCCUAAGCCCAGUAAUGUUGUGGCUCCUGCAGACUUGUAGAGGUUACUGCCUUGGUGGUCUUGGGUCAGAUCUGGGAGAAUUCUCUGGAUUACCAGGGAGAGACUCUUGUUCUCUUCCCUAACUUUCUCCCAAACAAAUGGAGUCUCUUUCUCUCUGUGCUGAGCUGCUUGGAGCCAGGAGGAGUGACACAGCACCCCUGUGGCCAUUAAUACUGGGACUGGCCUGGGUCAGGCCUGAAGCCAGCACAGCACUGGGUCUUGCCCAAGGUCCACAUGGUGACCACUUGCCUGUCUACCACCUAUGUUUACUCAAAGCCCAAGGGCACUACAAUCAGCAGGUGGCAAAUCCAGCCAGGCUUAUGUCCUUCCUUUUAGGGCAGCCAGUUACCCUGGCUCUGGGCAGAUCCAGAGAUGCUAUCAGGGCCUGGCAUUGAGAACCUUAGGAAUCUUCCUGUCAUUCCGUUCUACAGCAGCUGAGCUCACACCCAAACCAAAAGACAAACUCCUUCUCAUUCUUCACUCCCGUUUCCUCAAGCAGAGGAAUCUCUCCCCAUGGCCACCGCUGCCCCAGGCCUGCAGCAAGUACUGCAAGGCUGUCGCCGAUAUUCACUCAAGGUCCAAGGGCUCUUUGGUCAGCUUGUGGUCAAUGCUGAUAGGCCUGGGUAUCUCCCUUCAGGGCAAUGGGCUCCCCUCUGGCCCAGAGUGGGUCCAGAAAUACCAUCCAGGAGCCAAGGCCUAGAAUCAGGGACCUCAAGAGCACACUUGGUGUUCUACCCCACUGUGGUUGAGCUUGUACCGUGCCUGUAAGACAGAGUUCCCUUUACUCUUCCCUCUCUUUUCCUCAAGCAGAAAGAGUCUCUCCCUGUAGCCACCACAGCUGGGAAUAUACUGGGUCACUCCUGAGGCCAGCAUGGCUCUGAGUCUCACCCAAUGCCCACAGUGAGUACUGCCUGGCUACCACUGUUGAUUAUACAGAGCCCAAGGGCUCUUUGGUCAGCAGGUGAUGACUCCUGCCAGGACUGGAUCCUUCCCUUCAAAUGUGCUGGUUGCAUUUUGGUCCAAGGUGUGUCUAGAAAUGUCAUCCAUAAGCUAGGUCCUGGAAUGGGGGCCUCAGGACUCUGGUCCCUUGUUCUACUCUGGCUGAGCUGGUAUCCAAGUUGCAAGACAAAGUCCUUUUUACUCUUCUAUCUCUUCCUGGGCUGUGAACAACUCUGCCUGGCUUUGCAGUAAGGGUGGCAAAAAUGCACUCCCUGGCCACCCAGCUGGUGUCUCAGUAGGUCAUGUGCACCCUAAGUCUACUGGGCUAGUGGAGUGGCAGUAACAGACGAUAUAAGGUAGGAGUUGCAUUGUGUCUGAGAAGAUGUGGAGAGGACUGUGAACCUACUUUUGUGCAACACUGAAAAGUAUAUGCUUCCUUUCAGUUAAUUGACAUGAGUCUUUGAAGAAUAGACUCACAUUCUGAGUCUGUGAGUGAAUAUUUUUUCAUUCUACACCCUUACUUAGCAAGCUAAAGUCCUGAAAAAUAUGAUUCCUGAAUUUUCUUGAUUUCCAGAAUAAUAUAGCAUAUUCCUUAAAAGAAAGUGGUUUCAUGAAAGGUGUUACUUUCAAAAAAUUAAUCUUCUUUUCCUUUUUUAAAAAAUAGGAUUAAAAGAGUAAAAUUAAUAUCUAACAAAGGGACUGAAACUGACAAUGACCCAAGUUGUGUCCAUCCUAUCAUUAAGAGGAGACAAUGUCGACCAGAGAUUAGAAUGUGGCAAACAAGAGAGAAAGCAAAAUUUUCAGAUGGAGAAAAGUGCCGUAGGGAGGCUUUUAGGCGUUUGGGUAAUGGGGUGUCUGAUGACCUGUCAAGUGAAGAAGAUGGUGAAGCACGGACACAGAUGAUAUUAUUGCGUAGGAGUGUGGAAGGGGCCUCAAGUGACAAUGGUUGUGAAGUUAAGAAUAGAAAAUCAAUACUUUCAAGGCACCUAAACUCUCAGGUAAAGAAAACCACUGCAAGGUGGUGUCAUAUUGUGCGGGAUUCAGAUAGUCUGGCUGAAUCAGAAUUUGAAUCAGCAGCCUUCAGCCAGGGCUCUAGAUCGGGUGUGAGUGGUGGCUCUCGAAGCCUCAACAUGUCAAGAAGAGACUCAGAAAGCACCCGCCAUGACUCGGAGACUGAGGAUAUGUUAUGGGACGACCUGCUACAUGGCCCAGAGUGCCGGUCAUCUGUCACCAGUGACAGUGAGGGGGCCCAUGUGAAUACCCUUCACUCAGGGACCAAACGUGACCCCAAAGAGGAUGUUUUUCAGCAGAAUCAUUUAUUCUGGCUUCAGAAUUCAAGUCCUUCCUCUGAUCGAGUUAGUGCAAUAAUCUGGGAGGGGAAUGAGUGCAAAAAGAUGGAUAUGUCUGUGUUGGAAAUAAGUGGCAUCAUCAUGAGCAGGGUCAAUGCCUAUCAGCAAGGAGUAGGUUAUCAGAUGCUGGGAAAUGUUGUCACUAUUGGAUUAGCAUUUUUUCCAUUCUUACAUCGACUUUUCCGUGAGAAGAGCCUUGACCAACUAAAGUCCAUUUCAGCUGAGGAGAUCUUGACUCUCUUUUGUGGGGCACCACCUGUUACACCUAUUAUUGUUUUGUCCAUAAUUAAUUUUUUUGAAAGAUUGUGUCUUACUUGGAUGUUUUUUUUCAUGAUGUGUGUGGCAGAGAGAACAUAUAAACAGAGAUUUUUAUUUGCAAAACUCUUCAGCCAUAUUACUUCUGCCAGGAAAGCUAGGAAAUAUGAAAUACCUCAUUUCAGACUUAAGAAGGUGGAGAAUAUUAAAAUAUGGUUAUCACUGCGUUCCUAUCUAAAGAGACGGGGGCCACAGCGUUCAGUUGAUGUGGUUGUAUCCUCGGUUUUCCUACUGACACUUUCGAUUGCUUUCAUUUGUUGUGCUCAGGUUCUCCAAGGACAUAAAACUUUCCUGAAUGAUGCUUAUAACUGGGAGUUUUUGAUCUGGGAAACAGCUUUACUACUUUUUUUAUUGCGUCUGGCCUCACUGGGGUCUGAAACCAAUAAGAAAUACAGCAAUGUUUCAAUAUUACUUACAGAACAGAUUAAUUUAUAUCUUAAGAUGGAAAAAAAGCCAAAUAAGAAAGAACAGCUUACUCUAGUAAACAAUGUAUUAAAGCUGUCCACCAAGUUGUUGAAAGAGCUGGACACACCAUUUAGACUCUAUGGACUGACAAUGAAUCCCUUAAUCUACAAUAUCACAAGAGUAGUUAUCCUUUCUGCUGUCUCAGGUGUUAUAAGUGAUCUUCUAGGAUUUAAUAUAAGACUGUGGAAAAUUAAAUCAUAAGCUGAGUUAAAUGCCUGGAGUCUCCCCUGGCUGGUGUCAAAACUUACCUAUCAAGGAAAGUGAUGACUGCAGAAACCAGUGAGAUACCCACCUGCUUGUUCACAUGCACAGGUGCUCUCAGCUCUGCCAAAGCGAAUGAAUGGUGUUUCCGGAGGAGCAAGUCCUUUUCCAACUGGGUGUGCAUGCUAAAAACCUGUAUUUUCAUGCUUUUCAAACAACAUGAAUAGUCAGCUGACUAAAGACUGUGUGUGUUGUGGUAACACAAGGACAAUUUUGUAAGUUUGCGCUUCAGUACUGUGACAGUUAUGUUUACUGGACAUAGUCUUUUGGGCAACUAUGAUAGAUGCCCAAAGCAUGAAGCAAAUAUCUUUUAUUGGAAAUAUGCAAAUUCAAUACUUUUCCAUUAUAGUCUAUAGAACUGGAGAUUUCAUUUCUCUAUCAAAGAGAGAUCAAGCGAACUAUUUUAGGUUAAAUCCGAAUAAAAGAACUUUACUGGAGACUUUCAGUUUCUAGGUUUUCUUUGUUGUUGAAGGAAGAAAAUUAACUUUUAAACUGUGAGUUUCUGUUAAACUGUGGAGAAAUGUUUUGUUCGUUUACGAUUUUGAGUUAAUAACUGUAUAGUUGUUGGCGAACGAUGCAUGCGUACAAUAUGCCAUGUAAUUCAGCAUGAAAAAUUUAAGUAUAUGCCUACUCAUCCAUUUCCAUCAUACAACAUGGUUUCCACGUUCUAUGUGGAAGCCAUGGAAGCAUUGUUUCCAUAUAGAUCAUCUGAGUUGUGGUUCCUAACACAGUGCUAUGUGUCCUAUCACAAGCAUCAUUGAUAGUUUAUCAGUUGUGCAACUUAAUGUAUUAAACCCUCCGUACAUUUUCAGGUC
rnacentral:sRNA from 1 species